rnacentral:ncRNA from 1 species
UGUUUAAUUAAACAAAGCAUUGCGGUGGGUGUUGACGCAAUGUGAUUUCUGCCCAGUGCUCUGAAUGUCAAACUGAAGAAAUUCAAUGAAGCGCGGGUAAACGGCGGGAGUAACUAUGACUCUCUUUGGCACGCCCCUCGUCACACCCCAGACACCGUGGUCUGACCGUCCAAGCAA